CCUACGGGAGGCAGCAGUGAGGAAUAUUGGACAAUGGGCGCAAGCCUGAUCCAGCCAUGCCGCGUGCAGGAAGAAGCAUCUAUGGUGUGUAAACUGCUUUUGUACAGGAAGAAACACUCCCUCGUGAGGGAGCUUGACGGUACUGUAAGAAUAAGGACCGGCUAACUCCGUGCCAGCAGCCGCGGUAAUACGGAGGGUCCGAGCGUUAUCCGGAAUCAUUGGGUUUAAAGGGUCCGUAGGCGGUUUAAUAAGUCAGUGGUGAAAUCUGGUCGCUCAACGAUCAAACGGCCAUUGAUACUGUUAGACUUGAAUUAUAAGGAAGUAACUAGAAUAUGUAGUGUAGCGGUGAAAUGCUUAGAUAUUACAUGGAAUACCAAUUGCGAAGGCAGGUUACUACUUAUGGAUUGACGCUGAUGGACGAAAGCGUGGGGAGCGAACAGGAUUAGAUACCCUGGUAGUCCACGCCGUAAACGAUGGAUACUAGCUGUUCGGAGCAAUCUGAGUGNGUAGACGAAGAGAUAGUAUACCACCUACGGAGGUACGUUCGCGAAGAAGAGAACGACGAAAGUAAGUAAGUAGACGCGAGAGAGUACGACGACGGACGACGACGGAGGGAGGAG
rnacentral:rRNA from 1 species